UACAGAGGGUGCAAGCGUUAUCCGGAUUUACUGGGCGUAAAGCGUGUGCAGGCUGUUCACCAAGUGGUGUAUGAAAGCGCUCGGCUCAACCGGGCAGGGGUAUGCCAGACUGGUGGACUAGAGACUGACAGAGGGUGGUGGAAUUCCGGGUGUAGUGGUGAAAUGCGUAGAGAUCCGGAGGAACCCCAGAGGCGAAGGCGGCCACCUGGGUCAGUUCUGACGCUCAGACACGAAAGCUAGGGGAGCGAACGGG
rnacentral:rRNA from 1 species